CUGCGAAUGGCUCAUUAUAUAAGUUAUCGUUUAUUUGAUAGUGCCUUACUACUUGGAUAACCGUGGUAAUUCUAGAGCUAAUACAUGCUGAAAAUCCCGACUUCGGAAGGGAUGUGUUUAUUAGAUUAAAAACCAAUGCCCUCUGGGCUCCUUGGUGAUUCAUGAUAACUGUUCGAAUCGCAUGGCCUUGCGCCGGCGAUGGUUCAUUCAAAUUUCUUCCCUAUCAACUUUCGAUGUUUGGGUAUUGGCCAAACAUGGUCGCAACGGGUAACGGAGGGUUAGGGCUCGACCCCGGAGAAGGAGCCUGAGAAACGGCUACUACAUCCAAGGAAGGCAGCAGGCGCGCAAAUUACCCAAUCCCGAUCCGGGGAGGUAGUGACAAUAAAUACUGAUACAGGGCUCUUUUGGGUCUUGUAAUUGGAAUGAGUACAAUUUAAAUCCCUUAACGAGGAACAAUUGGAGGGCAAGUCUGGUGCCAGCAGCCGCGGUAAUUCCAGCUCCAAUAGCGUAUAUUAAAGUUGUUGUGGUUAAAAAGCUCGUAGUUGAACCUUGGGCCUGGCUGGCCGGUCCGCCUCACCGCGUGCACUGGUCCGGCCGGGCCUUUCCCUCUGCGGAACCCCAUGCCCUUCACUGGGUGUGGCGGGGAAGCAGGACUUUUACUUUGAAAAAAUUAGAGUGCUUCAGGCAGGCCUAUGCUCGAAUACAUUAGCAUGGAAUAAUGAAAUAGGACGCGCGGUUCUAUUUUGUUGGUUUCUGGGACCGCCGUAAUGGUUAAUAGGGACAGUCGGGGGCAUCAGUAUUCAAUCGUUAGAGGUGAAAUUCUUGGAUCGAUUGAAGACUAACUACUGCGAAAGCAUUUGCCAAGGAUGUUUUCAUUAAUCAGGAACGAAAGUUAGGGGAUCGAAGACGAUCAGAUACCGUCGUAGUCUUAACCAUAAACUAUGCCGACUAGGGAUCGGACGACGUUAAUUUUUGACGCGUUCGGCACCUUACGAGAAAUCAAA
rnacentral:rRNA from 1 species